GACGAACCGUGCGAACGUUGUUCGGAAUCACUGGGCUUAAAGGGCGCGUAGGUGGUUUGCCAAGUCGGGGUUGAAAUCUUUCGGCUUAACCGGAAAAGUGGCUUCGAUACUGGCAAGCUGGAGGGAGGUAGGGGCGGAUGGAACUUCCGGUGGAGCGGUGAAAUGUGUUGAUAUCGGAAGGAACGCCGGUGGCGAAAGCGAUCCGCUGGACCUCUCUGACACUGAGGCGCGAAAGCCAGGGGAGCAAACGGGG
rnacentral:rRNA from 1 species